CUACGGACUUAAUUGGAUUGAGCCUUGGUAUGGAAAUCUACUAAGUGAUAACUUUCAAAUUCUGAAAAACCCUGAAAGGAAAAAUGAGCAAUCCUGAGCCAAAUCCUAUUAUUUAAUUAUUUUAUAAAAAUAAACAUUAACAAAGGUUCAGCAAUCGAGAAUAAUAAAAAAAAGGAAACGGUAAGUGUAGAGACUCAAUGGAAGCUAUUCUAACAAAUGGGGUUGCUGUUGGUAAAUGAAUUUUUAUAUCGAAACUCUAGAAAAGAUGCAAG
rnacentral:ncRNA from 1 species